UGGGGAAUAUUGGACAAUGGGGGCAACCCUGAUCCAGCCAUGCCGCGUGAGUGAUGAAGGCCCUAGGGUUGUAAAGCUCUUUUACCCGUGAAGAUAAUGACGGUAGCGGGAGAAUAAGCCCCGGCUAACUCCGUGCCAGCAGCCGCGGUAAUACGGAGGGGGCUAGCGUUGUUCGGAAUCACUGGGCGUAAAGCGCGCGUAGGCGGUAUUGUAAGUUAGAGGUGAAAGCCCGGGGCUCAACUCCGGAACUGCCUUUAAGACUGCAACACUAGAAUCCGGGAGAGGUGAGUGGAAUUCCGAGUGUAGAGGUGAAAUUCGUAGAUAUUCGGAAGAACACCAGUGGCGAAGGCGACUCACUGGACCGGUAUUGACGCUGAGGUGCGAAAGCGUGGGGAGCAAACAGGAUUAGAUACCCCCGUAGUCC
rnacentral:rRNA from 1 species